GACAGAGGUGCCAAGCGUUAGGCGGAAUCACUGGGCUUAAAGCGUGUGUAGGCGGACUUCUAAGUACCUUGUGAAAUCCCCCGGCUCAACCGGGGAACGGCUGGGUAUACUGGGAGUCUUGAGCCAGCUAGGGGUCGCCGGAACAAGUGGUGGAGCGGUGAAAUGCGUAGAUAUCACUUGGAACGCCAAUGGUGAAAACAGGCGACUGGGGCUGUGCUGACGCUGAGACACGAAAGCCAGGGGAGCGAACGGGGAUCUGAGUACCGUACCGUAA
rnacentral:rRNA from 1 species